rnacentral:rRNA from 1 species
UACGUAGGCAGCGAGCGUUGUUCGGAAUUACUGGGCGUAAAGAGUGUGUAGGCGGUGCUCUAAGUUCGGUGUGAAAUCUCCUGGCUCAACUGGGAGGGUGCGCCGGAAACUGGAGUGCUUGAGCGUGGGAGAGGAAAGCGGAAUUCCUGGUGUAGCGGUAAAAUGCGUAGAUAUCAGGAGGAACACCUGUGGUGUAGACGGCUUUCUGGACCAUAGCUGACGCUGAGACACGAAAGCGUGGGUAGCAAACAGG